GCUGGAGCAGAAGUGGAGCAGCUGGGACCCGGACUGCGCUGCCGUGGGAUGCCGGCAUGGCGGCCAGCAGCUCUGCAAGGUGUCAGAGGCUGGCCCCUGUUCGUGUUGUCCGGCUGAGGUGGCCUGAACGGACUUAGGAACACAGUUUGGUGGAUGGGGAGCAAGGAACCGGAGCCCAGCUGUAGCCUGAUGGGGCGCCAGGGACGCUGUUGGCCAGGCUGAGGAUAAACACAGCAGUUCUCUUCUCAGCCCGCCUCUGACCACAACCACCUUCCUUCCUCCUCAGGCACCGAGUCACGCUGCUGGAGGCACCGAAGAGUACCUGGAAACCCCAGGAGAUGCUGGAAAGUGAAGACGAAGAAGAAAAAACCACGCAGAGAAGCAC